rnacentral:rRNA from 1 species
AAUAGAUACCCAGGUAGUCCACGCCGUAAACGAUGUCGACUUGGAGGUUGUUCCCUUGAGGAGUGGCUUCCGGAGCUAACGCGUUAAGUCGACCGCCUGGGGAGUACGGCCGCAAGGUUAAACUCAAAUGAAUUGACGGGGGCCCGCACAAGCGGUGGAGCAUGUGGUUUAAUUCGAUGCAACGCGAAGAACCUUACCUGGUCUUGACAUCCACAGAAUUCUGCAGAGAUGCGGAAGUGCCUUCGGGAACUGUGAGACAGGUGCUGCAUGGCUGUCGUCAGCUCGUGUUGUGAAAUGUUGGGUUAAGUCCCGCAACGAGCGCAACCCUUAUCCUUUGUUGCCAGCGGUUAGGCCGGGAACUCAAAGGAGACUGCCAGUGAUAAACUGGAGGAAGGUGGGGAUGACGUCAAGUCAUCAUGGCCCUUACGACCAGGGCUACACACGUGCUACAAUGGCAUAUACAAAGAGAAGCGACCUCGCGAGAGCAAGCGGACCUCAUAAAGUAUGUCGUAGUCCGGAUCGGAGU